ACAUUUUAGAUUUUUAAAAUAUUAAUAAAUUUUGCAUUUAUAAAUUAAAUACUACAUUUUGUUACAGCUAUUGUUAUCAUCAUACUUGUAUAGACUUGAAACCUGCAAACUGAGUUUUACAGACUAGGGUCACGGAGUUAGAAGUUCAGGCUUGAUAAAGAGCGCACACCAGACUCAACUCACUUUUGAUUUCCAGGAAUAUUGAUUCUUCAAGGAAGUGGCUCAUGUUCAAUUUUGCAGUGACCUGAAAUAAAUCACAGACGUAAAGUUAUUAAACUCAGUGAGUCAUGCGCUUGUGAAUGUGGCCACAAGUUACCCUGAUCAAACCAGCAAGUUGCAGAAAGCUGUGAUUAUCCUACUAUUGAAAUUCUAGCUACUACAAGGUAGCAGAAAAAGUGAAGUUGUCAGCCAUCACUACUAGCAAGCUACAUGAAGUAGGAAGAGCUCUAGAUUUGAGGCUGGU
rnacentral:lncRNA from 1 species